UUGAGACGCGCAACGCGGUCAAUUGGCGUCCACGAGGCUGUCUAUAAUUAUCAUUCUUCGGUGUGAUACGAUGCGCUCGAGAUGGGCCAUAUGAAGAUGCAGCCAAAAUUUUUUUACCGUUAGAUUUACCAAUCACACGAAUCUCGAUGCAAUCACGCUGGCUUAUACCCACUUCGAUAGGAUGCGCUCGACCUCACUGUAUUGUUCCCUGGAAAUACUUUUAUGCACUUUAGCCCGGUACCUUACAAGCUACUCGCAUUGUUAUUGAAAUCUUAUGAACGGGGCCAUUCUGGGUGGGCCAUUGAUGCGCUGGUAUCUGCGCGGGUAACAAUUUUGCAUUCAUGGGAAUCGCUACAGAUAUGCCUCUCUUGUCCUCGUCUGCCUCUCCUUUCUCCGUUUCCAUUUACCUCUUUAUCUGUUGGUCGGAGAGGGGACCGCGAGAUCCGCUUCUUCUCCAUCGCCACCGCGAGAUCCGCUUCUUCUCCAUCGCCGCCGCCGCCUCUCUCCUCUCUCCUCUCUCACGGGGUUUCGUCGUUGCCUUCUAAUCUGAGAAUACUCUUGUUUAGUUUUCUAGAAGACUGGUACGAAUGCAUCCAUGCAGACGAAUCCAAAACCUAAGACACAACUUCUUUUGGUACUUGGAUCACUGUCGCCUCUGAACCUAAAUAAAAGCUUAAGCAGUCUUCCAAUUGUUUGGGAGAAGAGAGAAUACAUCCGAAUCAGAAGAAGCCAAUGAAAACAGUCUUCUUGUGGUAUUUAUAUCACUGAUGGCUGAAUGCGUCCAAGCAGAAGAAGCCAAGAAAAGCUACGAGACGUUCAUGGAAUAACAGAAGCUGAGACUCAACUAGGAGAUAAAUGAACUGCAAGUAAGCAUCAACAGCUGGAUGGAACAGAAGGAGAUGAGACAUAAAUGUUCUGCACCAGAUUCAGUUCUUGGUGAACAUGUCCUUUGCUUGCAAACAUAUGGAUUAUUUCUGCAUGUUUUGGCCACCAUAUAAGACCAAGAAACAUUUGGCAUUUAAGACCAAAGAGACGAAGAGUUACUUCUACAGAACUUAGAAAUUAUGUCCAAUCUUGAAUCUUACCACCCUCAUUUCCUUUCAUUUCUAAUUAUUGUACCAUGUUUUCUUUUGUCAUUUUUAUGAGGAUGACUAAUAAGUACAAAGGAAUUUUAUGGAAUGCUA